rnacentral:misc_RNA from 1 species
AUUGACCUCUACUUGAAAAUUGUAACUUGCUUUAUUAUUCCACAUUAUUUUUCAUUUUGUUUCCUUUCUUUUCAACUUGCUGAAUAAUUUAUAUUUCUGCUCAUAUUCAAGAGAACAGAGAUUUGCAAACUUUGUGUGUUACCAUUGUGCUGAAAAGCCAUUGAAAACCUCUCAUCCAGAGUAGAUGGAGUUCUUUGAAAUUAAACCCAUCAAAUUAUUCGUGAAAAUGAUGAAUUCGGAGGGUAGAACUAUGGAAAUUGAUUUGCAGUCUAAUGAUUCAAUAAAGUCUAUCCACGAGCAAAUUCUAAAGAAAGAGAAAAUUCCAGUUACGGAACAGAUAUUAUUUCAUGACGGGAAGCAACUAGAGCGGUGGCAAACACUUGAAGACUGCUCAAUUGAAAACGAAGCUUGCCUCGAGCUGAAGGUUGGACUUGUAAGGGAUGACUCGGACGAAUCAUCGGCACUGCUCCAAAUGAUUCACGAAACGAGUUCAAAUAUUUGUCGCAUGUGCCGAGGGGAACCCGUCUCCAUGGAUCGAGUUGACAGGAAGACCAUUGAAGUUUUGAUGUCCAUAGGAGAAGGGAAUUCGGAGAUUCUUGAUUGGUAUUCUAUCCCUGCAACUUUGGUUAUGCUUUAUAGCUCACCAAUUGAAGGUAACAAAGGGCAUGGUGACUUUUUCAUAAGGUUUGCCAUGGAUUUCAUAUUGAUGAGCGCAGAUGAUAAUCUUGGUAAUGAAAACAUAUCUUUAGCAUUGGAAUUUUGUCAUUUGCUAAGGAAUGAAGCAUCUGAUGACGAUCCUUUGUAUCAAUCAUGCCGGACAACUCUAAGAGAGUUGUUAGAAAGAGGUAAUUAUGAGAUCGAUUUCAAUUAUGGGCCACGCUCAAUGCUUCAAAUCGUACCCUUUGUUGUCGAGUUGGUAGCACCUUUAUUGAGUGUACUGGGUUGGAUCUUCUAUCCAGGUGCACACAUUAAGUUGUUUGAAGUUCAAUUUCGCGACUUCCAGACAUUUUCUCGUGUAUUACGUAAAGCAAUUGCUAAUCUGAAAAAAGCCAAUGAGGAUGAUGAGUGUAAGAUUAUGAUUAUUGUCUCAUCGAAAGCACUUAAAGUUAUAUUUCGUAACCUUUUGAAAAAAAUGGAGGAGCAUCUCAGUAAUUUGACAGAUAUGACACAAAUGUUUGAAUCAAAUGAUGUUGUGAGUUCUGUUUCAUCCCUGUAUCUGACCAUUCUCAAUGAAUUGAAUAGCAUAUCUCAACUUGUGGAGGGUGCUGCAGAAGAAUUUCGACAUGUAUUAGAAGACAAAAAGAUUUCACUACAACAAAUGGUUAAAAACACUACAAGAAAAGAUGAUUACGAUUGGCUUCUUGAGCAUAGUGCUUUGCUUGAUUCUGAAUCCAGGAUGCAUUUAGUAAUGAUGAAGAUGAUCUCUGAGGAAAAAUUACGCGAUGCAGAGCUCUACAAGCCUAUCAUUCUCAGGUGCAAAAAUCUGUUUAAGGCAUUCAAAAAUAAGGAUCUUAUGAAUCCUAAAGUAUUGCAGGAUUGGUUACGCAAGUUAUGCCAAGUUUUAUUCAAACCACAAAAUCUCCUUUUCUUGGCGUGUCCAAACGAUCCUACAAAGUUCUAUCCUAAUCCUGAAUUGGAGCCACAACCAUUACACUUGGACUAUUUUGAAAUUUCUGGUAUGGUGAUUGCACUGGCAUUGAUGCAUGAGGUGCGCGUAGGCGUUGCCUUUCAUCGUGUGUUUCUUUUGCAACUGGCUGGAAAGGAUAUUUCCGCAGAGGACGUAAGGGAUGCAGUUCCAUCUUUUUACAAGGCCAAGGAACCUUUACUUGAUAGUCAUCAAAUUCUGAAUGAAUUCCUCAAGUCAGUCUCUGAACAGAUAAGCUUUUUCACAAAAGGCUUUGAUAGUGUUUUUGGAAAAUCAAUCAUCCAACUGCUAUCUCAUGGCAGAAUAGAGCUUGAAGAUCUUAACCAGGUUCUGAAAGGAAACUUAAAUCUUGAAUUUAAUUCUGGUAAGAAGAGAAAACGUGACCACAAUGAAAGUGAUCCUCUGAUGUCGUCCCAGGACAAUGAAAGCGAUCCUCUAAUGUCCCAGUUCUUGAAGAUUAAUAGACAAAGACUCAAUAUUACAAAGUCAAAGUGGCGAAAGGAUCGUAAGAAGCCUCUAGGAGGAGGAAUUUUCGGAAAAGUGUACAAGGGAUAUGCUGAUGGCGGUUUCUUUUUCGCCGUAAAGGAAAUACAAAUUAAAAAUAAAGGAGAAAUUGACAAAAUUAAGCAAGAGGUUAAUUUAUUGUGUCAAUUCAGUCAUCCAAAUAUUGUUAAAUAUUAUGGCACUGAAGAGGAGGAGUCAAAGGUCAAUAUUUUUCUUGAGCUUAUAAGUACAGGCUCCCUCCGACAAGUAUAUAAAUGUUUUAAACUGAAAGAUUCCCAAGUGUCCCACUACACCAAACAGAUACUGGAAGGUUUGAAGUAUCUCCAUGAGCGAAAGGUAGUCCAUGGAGACAUCAAAUGUGCAAAUAUACUGGUGAAUGAUAAAGGACGUGUGAAAAUUGCAGAUUUUGGUUUGUCCAAGCUGCUAAUGCCCAACCAAUCCAAGACAUAUACUGGAGUUAGAGGAAACAGGGGAUAUGUUGCACCUGAGUGGCGCAGAAACCUCCCCAUAACUGUCAAAGCAGAUGUUUACAGCUUUGGAAUCAUGCUGUUAGAGAUCAUAUGUUGCAGAAGGAAUGUAGACAUGCAUGUUCCAGAUGAUGAGGUAGUUCUUGCAGACUGGGUCUAUGAAUGUUUCGAGGCAAAUGAGCUUGGAAAGCUGGUCCAACACGAAGAGGUUGAGGAGAGCAAACUUGAGAGAAUGUUGAAGGUAGGACUUUGGUGCAUCCAGGAUGAGCCAUCAUUGCGGCCAUCAAUUAAGAGGGUGGUGCUUAUGUUGGAAGGGAUGAUAGACAUACCAGCCCCUCCUACUCCACCUUCCUUUUCCAUUUCAAUUUAGUUGUAACGAACUUUGCACAUAAGUAGCUAUGACCUGAAGCAACAGGAUAGUAGUUAAAUGAUUAUUCAAAUGCAUUGUAAUUUUAUGGUGGCAUUUGCUUUUUGUACUUUAAGAAUUUCCAUUUGCUUUGUAGACUACUUCUGAAGCUUAAUUUAAAAGAACAAAAUUAAUAACAGUUUGUUCUAUAACAUUAUAAUCAAUAAU